UGGGCAACCUGCCCCAGACACAGGGAUAACCCCGGGAAACCGGGGCUAAUACCGGAUACUCCGGUCGAACCGCAUGGCUCGAUCGGGAAAGCUCCGACGGUCUGGGAUGGGCCUGCGACCUAUCAGCUUGUUGGUGGGGUAACGCCUACAAGGCGACGACGGGUAGCUGGUCUGAGAGGACAACCAGCCACACUGGAACUGAGAUACGGUCCGAUCCUACGGAGG
rnacentral:rRNA from 1 species